rnacentral:snRNA from 1 species
AUAUUUACCUGCCAGGGGAGAUACCAUGAUCACGAAGGUGGUUUUCCCAGGGCAAGGCUUAUCCAUUGCACUCUGGAUGUGCUGACCCCUGCGAUUUCCCCAAAUGUGGGAAACUCAACUGCAUAAUUUGUGGUCGUGGGGGACUGCGUUCGCGCUUUCCCCUG